UGAGUGAUGAAGGCCUUCGGGUUGUAAGCUCUUUUGUCCGGGACGAUAAUGACGGUACCGGAAGAAUAAGCCCCGGCUAACUUCGUGCCAGCAGCCGCGGUAAUACGAAGGGGGCUAGCGUUGCUCGGAAUCACUGGGCGUAAAGGGCGCGUAGGCGGCCGAUUAAGUCGGGGGUGAAAGCCUGUGGCUCAACCACAGAAUUGCCUUCGAUACUGGUUGGCUUGAGACCGGAAGAGGACAGCGGAACUGCGAGUGUAGAGGUGAAAUUCGUAGAUAUUCGCAAGAACACCAGUGGCGAAGGCGGCUGUCUGGUCCGGUUCUGACGCUGAGGCGCGAAAGCGUGGGGAGCAAACAGGAUUAAAUACCCUGGUAGUCCACGCCGUAAACGAUGAAUGCCAGCCGUUGGUCUGCUUGCAGGUCAGUGGCGCCGCUAACGCAUUAAGCAUUCCGCCUGGGGAGUACGGUCGCAAGAUUAAAACUA
rnacentral:rRNA from 1 species